rnacentral:lncRNA from 1 species
ACUACUGGUACCUUUACCUUAAUAUAAAUUACUUUAAUUGUUAAUUAUUUAAUCAUUAAUUUAUAAAAGAGUGAUUUUCAUUUGAUUAAAUGAACAAUUAAAAUGAUGCGUGUUUUAUUUCUAUUAAUAAUUUUAAUAAAUAUCAUGAUAGCGGAAUGCCACCAGGAUCUAUGCCAGUAAUGGGACCUAUGGUUCAUCCCCAUGUUCCUCCUGUUAGUGUUGUGCCACCUGUAUCACAAGCUAUUCCUGCUAGUGUUGCAGCUGCUGCAACUGUGUCUCAGCCUGCAAAACCUCUCUUUCCAGCAGCAGCUGGUCAAGUAAGAAUUUUAAAUUAUCUUUAUAUUCAGAAUGAUGUAAUAUAGAACUUUCAUGAAAUAAUAAAUAAUUAUUAUUUGAAUUAAUU